CAUUCUGGACAUCUUCUCUUUUAAAUCACUUGAAUGGUCUUCAAAUAGCAUUACCCACGAGGAUAUGCCUCACUACCACAAGCCACGCCGACGCAUACACCAAAGAAGGAGCAGCAUCACAUCCUCGUCUGUCUCUGCGGUGUGGUGUGGCGGCGGCUGUGCGUGUCCUGCGGAGCACCUAGUAGGAUAACAACAUUAGAAAAGGUAGAUGUGGUUUUGGUCACACCUUCCUUGCAAUUAUCCUAGGGUGCAGAUUCUUUAUGUUAACUUUCAAAGCUUGCUGGAUAACAAUUGGUACAUCCAUGCAACUGGUACAGUUUAUGUAAACAUGUGUAUAUCAAAUAGUAGGAAAAUAAUAUUGGCAGACUGAUUUCUCCUAUGGUGAAAACAAUGCUGCAAUUAGCGAUAAGACAUGGGACUUUAAGACAAAAAAAUAAUGGCCAAUUACAUGAGUGGUGUCAGGUUUCAAAGAGUUUGUAAAUAUCAAGAUUACUAAAGUACAGUGAUUAAAAGGGGAACAUGACUACUGAACAUUAUUUUUUGCCAAAUUAUUAUCUUCGAAGAAGUCUCACAGAAAAAAGAAAUAGAUAAGUUGUAAAGAUCACUGUGCAUUUUCACUAAAUCUUGAACUAUAUUCAGUUCAUAAAUUUAAAAGCAUUCUCUCAAGGGCUUGAACAAAGAAAGAUGAUAAGAGCCGGAGAUUAACUACAUUGGAGGUUUCAACAACAUAUACAUAGCAGCAACUCUUAUAGAUCCUUCCUAACAUAUGCAGUAGGAAUAUUUUGGUAGGGAAUCGAAGAUAAAUAAAAUUUAGCUAGUCCUAACCAUUUAUGUGGGGUUACAUUAUGUAUUCAACGACCCUGAGAAUAGUGCAUGCAAUUUAAGGGUAUGGAGUCAUACUUGUCUGCAGUUAUAAAAGAAGAGUUGCUUGUCUACUGCAUGAGUUCAAGAGCGAAGAACGUGAUUAGUUUCAAGGAGGUCAACAGUCGCACAACCAGUUCAUUACAUUUUAGUCCCUCGACACCAUAAUCGAUGGUGGCGUAUUCUAUUAGUUUGAUUCAAACUAUCAUUGGUAUGUCUCCUCCUUCCGGGCAUAAACAUCCAGGGAUAAAUUCAUCUACAGGGUCAAGAAUAGAUGCUGGAUUGAUGCGUAUUCAGAACUUGGAACCAAGAAAUAAAAUCCACAGUUGCGGAGUAAUGCAUUAUGGGCAGAAAUAGAGAAGUAGCUAUAAUUAUUAAAAACGCCAAGAGCCUUAAUUAAAUGAUUCUGCAUGGUACUGGUACAAAAGAUGAUCCCAAAAAAGAUAAAACAUAGCCAAGCCAUUCUAAUACAAACAUCAGACCAUUAUUCCAUAUGAUGGGCAUUAUGCAACUGGCAAAGACAGUUAUACUUAGAUGCAAUAAUUAGAUGGAUGAUUCAGUUGUAGGAACAAUUAGAGAGAAGCAGUAUAGCAUCAUGGAGAUUCGGUUGUAGGAACAAAUCUGAUGGGAGGGAUAAACCUACAUCUUCGUUCCUAUCUUAGCAUCUUACAGCUACAAUCAGCAGUGCAUGAAUAGGACAUUUUCCAUGGAUUUGAAUAAGUAUUUUUGAAAUGGGUAAACUACAGAGUACUCGCUACUAUGCAAAGGGCAAAGGGAAAUAAACAGUGUUCUAACCAUCUGAUUUCUUCGUUCGAAAUGCCCUUCUUCCUUGAAUUCCAAGCAGGUUGCAUCUCACCAGUCCAUUGGAAAUGAAGGAAAACAUUAUAAGGAAACUGCUGAGAAAAGUGGUCCUCACAGAAGUAUUAAGUACAAUUCUCAUUAGUGUUCAGUUUAUAAUAGAGAUAGUGUUACCAUUUCGUAAGGAAUCAUGCGUUAAUAAAAAUAGUGUGAGAAACUUACAAAUAGGACCAAGACCAACAUCAACCUUUCCCUCCACCAUGAAUACCUUAACGACUGUCCUCAAGUUCAUCAUAAGCAAAUAGUCACAUAUACACACAUGAAGCCUGCACCACCACAACCAGGAUUAACCCAAAAUCAUCUACUAAUU
rnacentral:lncRNA from 1 species